rnacentral:rRNA from 1 species
AAUCAACGCUGGCGGCGUGCCUCAGACAUGCAAGUCGAACGAUUAAGACUCCCUUCGGGGAGUGCAUAAAGUGGCGCACGGGUGAGUAACACGUAAGUAAUCUACCUUUGAGGGGGGAAUAACAACCGGAAACGGUUGCUAAUACCGCAUAAUGCAGCGGCACCGCAAGGUGACAGUUGUUAAAGGAGCAAUCCGCUUGAAGAGGAGCUUGCGGCAGAUUAGCUAGUUGGUAAGGUAAUGGCUUACCAAGGCUACGAUCUGUAUCCGGUCUAAGAGGACGGGCGGACACACUGACACUGAAUAGCGGGUCAGACUCCUGCGGGAGGCAGCAGUCGGGAAUUUUGGGCAAUGGGCGAAAGCCUGACCCAGCAACGCCGCGUGAAGGAUGAAGUAUUUCGGUAUGUAAACUUCGAAAGAAUGGGAAGAAUAAAUGACGGUACCAUUUAUAAGGUCCGGCUAACUACGUGCCAGCCGCCGCGGUAAAAC